UACGGGGGGGGCAAGCGUUGUUCGGAAUUACUGGGCGUAAAGGGCUCGUAGGUGGCCAACUAAGUCAGACGUGAAAUCCCUCAGCUUAACUGGGGAACUGCGUCUGAUACUGGAUGGCUUGAGUUUGGGAGAGGGAUGCGGAAUUCCAGGUGUAGCGGUGAAAUGCGUAGAUAUCUGGAGGAACACCGGUGGCGAAGGCGGCGACCUGGGUAGAUACUGACGCUGAGGUGCGAAAGCGUGGGGAGCAAACAGG
rnacentral:rRNA from 1 species